CUACAACUUUCUCUGUUCUGUUCUGUCAGGAAGCGACAUAGAACACAACACCACCCGCCACCGACAGCCAGUUCACAUCGCUGCAGUAGAUAACAAUAUAACAGGGGUCCGCUAGAAAUCCAGCUGACCUGGAGCGCUAUUGGGCUGACCCAGCAAGACACCUGGGCUGAGUAGAAGCAGGGUUGCUGCAGACUGGCCUUUAGCUCUUUUUCAUUGAAAAUGGACUCCCACUGGCCUCCUUUUGGCUUUGAAAAUAUGUUCCUUUAUGUGCCUGGACCCCCAUACUACCACAGUACAAUACUAAUAAUAAUGACACUGAAUGAAAAUCUCCACACUGGACCAAUUUACAAACACACAAAGGAACUGAGAUGCUCCUCACCAUCUCAGUAUGAGUUUUGUUAUUGAGUUACAAUGAUGAGGCCUACUGCUGAUGCUUUAUUAUCCUCAGAAAAGAAUUUCUCAAGGCGAUGCUUGUCAGUUCACAAUAAUAGAAUGAUGCCACCCACACAAAUACAAAGCUAAUGUUAUUAUAGCGUAGUUAGACUGAUGUGCCUGCCCUGUUAUUUAAGUGCAUUAAACUGGGGCAGCUACUGUAUUGUUUUGAAUGCAUUUACUAUGAAUCCAGCAGUGUCGUGAAGGUAGCAGAGCAAAAUUCAAUCAGUGGCUCGUCUCCACUAAGAACACCUGGUGAGGGGACAAGCAUCACGCUGAGGGCCUGCGCAGACCCCUGCUGGAAUGAGGCUGCAAAUCAAAGCAUCAGAGGUGUUUCAUCUCUUCACUGGAGUCUCAGUUUUUGAUAUGGGGUUAAGAUUGAAAGGAUGACACUUCAACUUAUGGCUCCUCACAUCUACAGCCACGAGAUCCUCUCCCAGCAUCUACGAUCCAGACGCACGAGGGAGAAACCUUGACGAGGCGCAUGAGAAGAAAACCAGCACAUUUGGGUAUGACUAAAACCUUCAAAGCGUUCUCCUUCAGCCAGAUCUUUUUUGUGAUUCAGCCUAUAGUGCAGACGAGCAGCACAUGGAAAAAGAUAUUCUAUAUUUUCGGCAGCAUAUGUUAUUUGUGUUUCUCUGGACCUUGAGGUUCAUGGAGCCCCCGCAAAAUGAAGUGAGAGCUUGCAGCAGCUGCCAGACGGCAUGUAGUAUAGAAAUACUACCUCCUCUGAUGAGGUCGAGAGGAAAGACAAAUUUUUAAAGGAGAAAGGAAAUAAGAGGAUUAGGGCUGAUAAUGUGUGUGCAGCCUCCCACUAAGACAAGUGUGCCUUGUUGCAGAAUACCUGUGGCUCAUGUAAGGACCUGUUUACAAUGGAUUCAUAGACAUUCACAAGACAAAGGAGGAGCAUUUUUAUUGGUUGGUGGAGGUUGUUUUAGUGGCAGGUGUGAUUAGAUCUUAAUUAAAUAAAAUACAUGCGGAAAGAGCUGAAGGUCAUCAACAGUUUGUAGAUGCUUACAGCACAUUACUGACGAGGACUAAUGUAAUGUAAUAUUUUCCUGAAGCACAUAUUUUUAGUGGUAAAAUGCGGAAUGUGAAAAUAUAUUAAAAAGUGAAUUUAAGGACCUUAAUGAAUAGCCUGUGAGUAUGAAAAAUUAUCUGAGAAAUGUUGUCAUCAAAGAAGACUUUGUGCAGUUGUAAAUCACUGGCCCAUGUUUCUCACCAUGUGCAAAGGAUUUACUUGCAAUCUAGUGUUUGGAAUACUUUCCUGCAAAAAAAAUGUGUGUUUUGCUUAAGGUUAACUCAGUCCAAAAUUUGGAAUUGAAGUAAUUAGUAAACUGAGUGGAACACAUGUCUAUUUGCUUAAAAAGACCAGGCAGAGUAGCCAAAUGUGAUGGAAAAAUGCCAAAAAAAACAAAACUAUUCCCACAUUUGCCCUAUUAUCAAAUCCAGGUAAUAAAAGGUUUGAUUGAUGAAGAUGUUGGCAGAGCGUCGAAAAUCGCUCUCUUGCCAUAUUUACAUACGGUAAAUCACUGCCUGCAGAGUGAGUGAUUUGGCAUUUGUGCCAUCUGCAAACAUUAAUAAGACAAAAAUAAAUAAAAUGAGGGAAAGGUGAUUAUGCAUGUCUGUGGGGAUUUUGUAGCAGGAUGGCUCUGGCAAAAGGGUUCCAACAUUUUGUACGAGCUCCUUCGCCAAGCCUCUAUCAGCUUCAUAAGUCAUAUCAGAUGUUUGGGUUUUAUUGGGACUUGAAAUAGUUAUUAGCCUGAGCACCCAGCCUGCUGGAUUUAUCUCCUGCUAAAUAAAGACCCACACAAUAAUGAGCUCUGCUUAGUGUGAUAUCUUCCUUUUAUUCACUACUUUUCUUCCAUUAAAUAAAAAACUACCCCUUUUAGAAUUAUGACAGGCAGGUGAUAUUGUCGUUAAUACAAGAGGUAAUAUAUCUCUUGACAAGACUAGUAUCCUUGGAAUUCACUUGAGAUGAAAAAAAGGUUUACAGAGCUAGCCUUAUUACAGCUGAAUUGCUAAAAUGUCUUCUUCGGUCGAUUAAAGGAAAACUUCCAUUAAACAAUGAACAAAACAGCCACAGUGGCUCUGAUAGAAACCUCAUUGCUGUGUAUGAGUGCAGACGGUUUGCUCAGUCUGCACUGCAAACCUUCAGCAGGAGGGAUUACAAGAGAAGGUAGAACAUUUAUGCCGUCCACUGCACGUUUCCUAAAUUACACUAUGCGGGUCAUUUCCAUAGGGGGUAAAAGUAGGCCUGCGGUGUAUCUAAUUUGUGUAUAAUACCAGCAGAAAUAGAGAAUCUCCUGCCAAGCAGCAUCUCAACUUCUGCCUUUGUCUGACAUCCUGUUGCCGGAAUUGCAAAACUCUGCCAAUCUUCUGCCGAUAUUCCAUGAAAUCAGAUGUAAAACCAAAACAAGACAUGCACUGGAAAGAUUGU